AUACGUAGGUGGCAAGCGUUGUCCGGAAUUAUUGGGCGUAAAGCGCAUGUAGGCGGUAAUUUAAGUCUGUCGUGAAACUGCGGGGCUCAGCCCCGGAUGGCGAUGGAAAAUGGGUUACUUGAGUGCAGGAGAGGAACGGGGAACUCCCAGUGUAGCGGUGAAAUGCGUAGAUAUUGGGAAGAACACCGGUGGCGAAGGCGCCUUUCUGGACUGUGUCUGACGCUGAGAUGCGAAAGCCAGGGUAGCGAACGGGAUUAGAUACCCCGGUAGUCCUGGCCGUAAACGAUGGGUACUAGGUGUGGGAGGUAUCGACCCCUUCCGUGCCGGAGUUAACGCAAUAAGUACCCCGCCUGGGGAGUACGGCCGCAAGGCUUAAACUUAAAGGAAUUGACGGGG
rnacentral:rRNA from 1 species